rnacentral:misc_RNA from 1 species
AACGCACAUUGCGCCCCUCGGUAUUCCGUGGGGCAUGCCUGUUCGAGCGUCAUUUACACCCUCAAGCUCUGCUUGGUGUUGGGCGUCUGUCCCGCUUCAUGCGCGGACUCGCCCCAAAGUCAUUGGCAGCGGUCGUGCCAGCUUCUCGCGCAGCACAUUUGCGUUUCUUGAAGCUUGGUGGAUCAGCAUCCAGUAAGUUCUUUUAUGACUUGACCUCGGAUCAGGUAGGGAUACCCGCUGAACUUAA